CCCGGUUGCCAGACUUGGCCCAAACCAGCGGCGCCCCCCAGGACCCCAGGCCCCGGGAUCCUUUCUCAGGAGGGGACGAGGCAGCCCCUCAACACCCCUCUCCUGGGAGCGCCCAGACCAGGAUGGAUGAAAUGAAGGACUGUCUGAAUACUUGAUGGAAGAGAGCUCCACCUCUCCCUCCUCCACCUCUCCUUGGGCCCAUGAAGACAGGACACCCUAAAGCGUCCAAAAUUCAGAAUCAGGAGUCCCCCAAACUCCUAAUACAGGCCAUCACUAGUCCCAGAUUUUGGGCCAGAUGAGUCCUGGGGCCUUGGGGGUGAACCUGGUGGUGGAGGAAACAGAAAACAAAGUCAAGCACGUGAUAAAGCAGGUGGAAUGUAUUGAUGAGCAUCAGGCCAACGAGGCUCUGGAGGAGAUGAGGCUUGAGGCUCUCCGCACGUGAUGGAGAGACGGGACCCACACCAGCCCAUCUGGCUCCA
rnacentral:lncRNA from 1 species